rnacentral:rRNA from 1 species
UUUCCUUUGGUAGCAAUACCGAAGGAAGUCUAGUGGCGAACGGGUGCGUGACACGUGGGCAAUCUGCCUUGAAGUGGGGGAUAGCUCGGCGAAAGCCGAAUUAAUACCGCAUGUGAUUAGCGGAGACAUCUUCGCGACAUCAAAAGUGGCGCAAGCUACUGCUUUUUGAGGAGCCCGCGGCCUAUCAGCUUGUUGGUGAGGUAACGGCUCACCAAGGCGUUGACGGGUAGCUGGUCUGAGAGGACGACCAGCCACACUGGGACUGAGACACGGCCCAGACACCUACGGGUGGCAGCAGUCGAGAAUUUUUGACAAUGGGGGAAACCCUGAUCGAGCGACGCCGCGUGGAGGAUGAAGGUCUUCGGGUUGUAAACUCCUGUCAUUUGGGAACAAGGUGCGCGCGUUAACUGCGCGCGUAUUGAUAGUACCAGAAGAGGAAGAGACGGCUAACUCUGUGCCAGCAGCCGCGGUAAUACAGAGGUCUCAAGCGUUGUUCGGAUUCAUUGGGCGUAAAGGGUGCGUAGGUGGCGCCGUAAGUGGGGUGUGAAAUUUCGGAGCUUAACUCCGAAACUGCAUUCCAUACUGCGGUGCUCGAGGACUGGAGAGGAGACUGGAAUUCAUGGUGUAGCAGUGAAAUGCGUAGAGAUCAUGAGGAAGACCAGUGGCGAAGGCGGGUCUCUGGACAGUUCCUGACACUGAGGCACGAAGGCCAGGGGAGCAAACGGGAUUAGAUACCCCGGUAGUCCUGGCAGUAAACGGUGCACGUUUGGUGUGGGAGGAUUC